GACGAACGCUGGCGGCGCGCUUAACACAUGCAAGUCGAGCGAAGCGGCGGACGGGUGAGUAACACGUGAGUAACCUGCCUUAGACAUUGGGAUAGCCUCGGGAAACCGGGAUUAAUACCAAAUGGUCUAAGAUGGACUCGCGUCCCAUUAGCUAGCUGGUGAGGUAACGGCCCACCAAGGCGACGAUGGGUAGCCGGCAUGAGAGGGGGAACGGCCACAUUGGAACUGAGAAACGGUCCAAUGUCGACGGGAGGCAGAAGUGGUGAAUGUUGCACAAUGGAGGGGACUCUGAUGCAGCGAGGCCGCGUGAACGAAGAAGGCUUUCGAGUCGUAAAGUUCGUUUAUAUGGGAAGCGGUACCAUAAGAGAAAGCCCCGGCUAACUACGUGCCAGCCGCCGCGGUAAUAC
rnacentral:rRNA from 1 species